AACGCACAUUGCACCUCCCGUGAGGGAGGUAUGCCUGUCUGAGCGUCAUCGAAACCAAUGAGUCUCCGGACUUGUGUUGGGCUCCGCACCCUCGCGUUGCCUCGAAGCCAUGGUCUAACCUGCGGACGACUCCAAUCGGACCUGCCGCGGCGUGGCCCAUACAUACGUUUGACCUCAGAUCAGGUAGGAAGACCGCCUGAACUUAA
rnacentral:misc_RNA from 2 species